rnacentral:lncRNA from 1 species
GACAAAUUGACCUCGUAGAAACCUAAUUUGGGGUGUCCUAAAUACGUUGGACAACUCCGUUUAACAUUGCGAAAAUGUUAGAGUAUAGUUCAUGUACAAAGGGGCCUAAUAUGGCACUAUUUUGUUUAUAGGGCGCGGAAUCGGCUAGCGUAAAGUGCGGGAGCCUUCAUAUUCUACACCCACACGACCAAUAGAGGUGGGGGGGUGCACGCCGAAAUCGUUGGAUUCCCUUCUAUGUUUGUUUCUCUAUUUUUUGAACAUAUGAUUGUAUAGUCACUCAUGCAUAUUAGGGUUAAUUUACAUGUGGACUAUUGGUUGUUUCAUUAUGUCUUCUCUAAUGUUUUUGGAAAGUAGAAAGAUAUGGAACCAUGAAGGACAUGUAUUGUUGGACCCUAGAGAUUGCAUGAUUGAGAGGCUGGACUUGGCGAUGGUAAAUAGCUAUGACACUGACAAUAGAGAGAUGGAUUGGCAUUGACAAGUAAGUGUUAAGCAUAGGUUUAACCAAAGUUACAUUGGGACAAAAUGGUUAGUAAGUGACAUGAACAAUGGGUAGAGAACCUAGCAUAAAAGCGGCAUGGUAACUAUUGGCUGAACAUCCUCAAAUUGGGGAUUCGAUUGAUACUCAUGACACGUCUUGGCUUGAGGGAGGUAGCUCCCCCUCAAGCGGUGAGUUUCCGGAAAUAGUCACCUUGGGAGCGAGGUCCCUGAUGACGGUCCCUAGGGGUGGUUCGAGGCCCCCUGUUAUGACGGGAUUUGGGUUAUGAGUUAUUGGGGUUAACAGAGUUAACCGGCAAGAUUGGAUAAGAGCCAAAGCUUAAUUAUGGUUGAAGCAUGCAUGCAUUUCCAUUAUUGCAUUGAAUUAUAUAUUCACUGACUCUUUCUUGCAGGCAUAGUAUUAGUUGCAUUAGUAAUGGUUACUUUCUCUCCUUUGAAAUACUUAUGUCUGGAUAGACCUAGUGGGUAAGUCAGCGAGGUCGGAUGCCGAGCUCACUGGGAACUUUGUUGUAGUUCUCACACCACUAACCCUACAGGUCCUAGCACGAGCGGGGCGGCGGAGGACCGAGGCAAGGAUAAAGCGCCGUAGAUAGCGGCCACCGGGACUCAUACAUUUUGUAGCCAUUUCCCUUUUGUUAUACAUGCAUCAACUUCUUUUGUUGAUUUAGAGAUGUAAAGUUGUAAACAAUCGUGUAAUUUUGGGGAUGGCUAAAUGUAAAAGGAAAUGAUGUUUGAAUGCAAAUGUAAUAGUUUUAUUUACUUGUAUUUGGUUCAAAUGAAAUCAAGUAUCAUGUAUAUUGUAUAUUAGCUUAGAGCUUUCGCUUCCGUUGUUGCUUGCCCUCGUGCAAGCCUUGUAUUAUAUAUGUAAUUCUCUUGUUGAUUGCCUAUUUAUACAUGUUGUUAGAGCCUUGGGCGGACAGGGGAGGCUCAGUCCGUUCGGCGUCUGUUGACGUGACCCGAACCCGACCAAAUUGGCGGGGAUUGGGGCAUGACAGAACUCGACAACGGAAAAUGGAAAUAUGAAAUGCUCGAUGUGGACAAAGUAGGAUGUCAAUAGAUCGAGUGGCAUUUGAUAUGGCAUCUAAUGUAGUGUAUCAUGACACUAGUGGUAUGUGAACUUAGGGAUAGAGGGAUUCCCUAGUGAUGACUCAUGGACAAGGAACCUAGUGUAGUUAAACACUGACACAUGGACAUUGGGAUAGGUGGAUUCCUAAGAGAAUAUUGGCCCUAGUUGGUAGGGUGUCCUCGAGUUGAGAGGAUGGAUCAAGCUCACGGUUUGUUAUUUGGGGUGGUAAAGCCACCUAAGCAUUUGGGGUUGUAAAGCCACCUAAGCUGUCGUGCACUCCGGAGUAUGGUACGAGAGGGGCAGAGUUGAUGUCCCACAGACAGUCCCGGGUUUGAGAGCGAGUUGAGUCUCCUUACCCUACGAGAUGAUGAUGUGAGUUGUAGGCGAACCCAAGGGAUUCGCCAAGGAUUGGAUAAACAAGAGAAUAGUACUGUUUAUUGAACAUUUGCUCAUUGGACAUUGUUAGUGGAUUUGGUAUCCCAGUUGAGUGGAUCUAAGGCUGAGGUGCAAGUGAGACGUCCUUCACCUUGAGCUUGGCUUUGCGCGGUAUUCCGCGGAUGAUUGACUCAAGACCGAGUCGGGUGGAUAACUUUGUAAAGGUAAAUAAAAUCUUGUGAGCAAACAGUAAAGGUCAAUGAAACCUUAUGAUCAGAAUGGUAAUUGACAUGAAUCCAAGACAGAGAAAAACUUAGAAGUCAAUUGGAUGAGCUAUGAAUAGCAGGAUUGAAAGUAGUAUCGAUUGAACUACUAGUUGGUUGUAUAGUUGCAUAAAUAACAUGAUUUUCAUAUUGCAUAUUAUGAGACAUGAAUUUGAUAAUGUUAGUUGCAUAAAAUAUAUGAUGAUAUAUAUAUCUAUUGGAUAUUUGUUGGACUAACAUGUUGCAGUGCCUCCUUGGACCUAUCGGUCGAGCUUUUCCCUUGGGUGGCCGUACCCACUGGGAACUAUGGAGUUGGUUCUCACCCCACGUUAUUUUGGGGUGUUAUAGGUUCGCACGUGAGUGGCGCGGCAGCGGCGCGAGGCAAGGGCGUAGCUCCAUAGAUAGCGCCCUACCCCAGAAACCAUAGAUAGUGGUACCCCGAGUCGGCAUAGCCUAGGGGUAGAGGGAAAUGCAAAGAACAAGAUGUACUAAGACUUGUAAAUAAGCGAUGUAAUAACUUGAUUGCAUUUGGAUGAAAGUGAAUUGUAAUUGAGAUGUAAAAAUGUAUCUAGUGUGAAUGUUUGUAAUAACAUAGGAUGUGUUAUGUUGUUGAUACCUUCCAUUUGCAAUUUAUGAUUGAAUACUGUUCCUGGUUGGAACCGUUUGUAUUGUUUUGAUUGCGACACCUAAAACGUACAACGGAGACUCUGUCUGCGGUACAGGAAAAAUCCUGUCCGUUUGGCGGUCUGUCGACGUACCCGAACCCGACCAAAUAGGCAGGGCACGGGGCGUGACAUAUAUAUAUAUAUAUAACAAGAGAGAGAGAGAGAGAGAGAGAGAGAGUCCGACUUGGGUAACUAUUGAUAGCACCAAGGUUUGGUGCUAUGAGUUUUCCACUGUUAGAUUUAACCAUUUGAUUAUUUUUACUUGUUUAGAUUAUACUAUUCAACCAACCACCCACUCAACCCUAGGAGGCCUACAUCAUCCUAACGCCAUUAUCUCUCAAUCACAAGGGCUUAAAAAACUAAUAGCACCAAUAGCUUAGUGCUAUUAAUAGUAUAUAGCCUAGUUCUAUAUAUAUAUAUAUAUAUAUAAAUAUAAUUGAGCUCCUAUAUUUUUAAAAGUACCAAGUAAUUGGUGCUUGUAAAUUUUUAACCCUUGAAUUAAAGAGUGUGUGGUUAGGAUGAUGUGGGCCCCUUAGGGUUGAGUGGGUGGUUGUUGAAUAAUAUGAUCUAACGUGUGAAAAUGAUCAAAAUGGUAGAUCUAACGCGGAAACUUGUAGCACCAAGUGUCGUGCUAUUAAUAGAAGAGUAGCCGGACUUUAUAUAUAUAUACUAUAUAUAUAUACUGUAUUAUAUAUAUAAUAUAUACAUGUAUAGUGUAUAUAUACAUUAUAUAUACACAUAUACAUGUAUAUAGUAUAGUAUACAGUAUACUGUAUAUAUAUACAUAUAUACAUGCUAUAAUACGCGUAUAACAUGUAUAUAUAUAGUAUAUAUACAUGUAUUAUAUACAUAUAUAUAAUACAGUAUGCAUGUAUCAUAUCUAUACCAUAUAUAUACAUAUCCCGUAUACAUAUUUAUACACAUGUAUAUAUAUAUUACCUAUACAUACAUAUACUACAUGUAUUGAUGUACUGUAUAUACAUACAUAUAUACACUGUAUAUAUGGUAAGGGGGGGGUAUAAUAUCAAUACAUAUAUACAGUAUAUUAUAUUAUAUACAUACAUAUAUUACAGUGUAUACUAUGUAAAUAGUAAAUACAGUAUGAUAUAUACAUAUAAUAAUAACAUAUAUAACUAACAUAUAUAUCAUCUAUACAACUAUACAUACAUACAUUUAUAUAAUAUAUACAUAUAACUAUAUAUAUCCAUAUUAUAACUACUAUAUAAUAUAUAUAUAAUACCUAUUAGUAUACUACUAUAUAUAUACUGAUACAUAUAUAUAUAUAUAAUAUAUAUAGUUAGUACCUUAUAGAAUACACCUGAAUAUACCAUAAGUAUUACUAUUAAUAUACUACUAUACUGUAUACACUGAACUUUGCAAAUUACGAAGUUCAAGUGUUGGAAUAGUAAUUGGAAUCAUUCCGCAACUUUGGAAGGAUGGAGGAGAGGUGUUCAGCAAGUUACUAAAGCUAGCAAGUGGUCAUAGGGGGAAAAGUGCAUUGUAACUGUAAUGCUUCGAACUUGACUAAUUGUGAAGCUGGAAUAGGGAAUGGGCAUUGAGAGCUAACCCACAUCUUUUAAUGAGUUGUGGGGAGGUUUCUGACAAGUUAUAAGAGUGAUCGAAUUGUUAGAAGGUCAAAAGUGAAUUGCACUUUAGACGUGGAAGCGUGAAGUUUAAGUGUAAUAUCUCGGAAUUGACUGAUUAUGAAGUUUGAUGAGUGGAAGUGAUAAUUGGAAUUAUCCUACAUUUUCUAAAGGGUUUAGAGAGGUUGGUGGACAGGUAUGAGAGUGAUUAGAUUGCGGGAAGUGAGGAAGUGCAUUGCUGCUGCGUUUUUGCACAUUCUGCAUUGUUGUACCGGUAUAACAUUAACAUUGUACCGGUACAACCAGUCUCAGUAGCAGCAGCUGUGUGGCAGCAUGCCUCUUUUGGUCUUUUUACUCCCAAGCUUAUCUCUAAGCCAUUUUCACGACCCUUGCAGCUAGCCUAGGGUUGCUGGAGCUCUGAGAAUCAGGUAGAGCUGCUUCUCCUUCUCUCUCUAGGGUUUGUUUCUCUCUCUACAAAGAAAGCAAGGGUUAAGUUGGUUUCUUUUUCCUUGCUUGGUAAUCAGCUAAUUGGGAGUGAUUGAGAACUGGUAAUGAAGGAAAAAUGAGGAGCUUUAAGGAGUGUUCGCAGCCUGGAGCUUAGUAGUAGCUGGGUUGAUCCUUUAGCAAGGUAAACUACUUAACUACUCAUGAGUUUAAGGCAUAGUAAUGAGUUUAAGUAGUAUAUGGGAUUCCUUUCUUGUUAGCUGAAGUAGAAAAGGUUUUAGCCACUGCAAAUCAGAGAUGGAUGUGAGUUCUCAGCUUCAAUCCCUGUAAGAAGCUGAGCUAAAGCUUCGAGAAUGUAAGUAAUCAGCUAUUGGACUCAUGUUGAUACUAUAUUGAUAAUAAUGAUGAUUGAUAAAGCUGACUUUGGUAUUGUGCACAGCAGCUCAGAAGCUUAUUUAGGCUGAGUAUAGAGACCUUGGGAGCUUAUUUGGAUACACUAGAACUUGUAAGUGAUGCGAAUUUAAGUGGGGAAUCUAUGCAAGCUAAAUUCCAGUCUAUAAUAAAUAGUCGCAUAUGGGUACUAAUGAUGUUCCUUGGUAGUGUUCGCAGCAAACUUGCGAAAGGUGGUUGGAUUGUUCUCAGCUGAUAUUUAGAAGCUUUUGAGGGUUAACUUGAGUUCGUUAACCUGGACCAAAACAGGAAUUUAAUUAUAGCCUGAUACUAGCAGGAUAUUGAAUCAUUUCAGCUGGGAAUUGUGAGCUGUCAGGAUCAGUUUUAAUGUAUUCCAACCUGAAUUGAAGAACAAUUCAAGUGUGGAUAUUUCUAAGGCAUUUGACGGAUUUGGAUUACCUCCAAUUGCGGAAGUCUCGACAUAUUGGUGGGUCGGAUCUUCCCGAAAUGGGUGAAUUCCCUCUAUGUCUUCUUUGACAUUAUGAGUUGAAGUUACUACAUAUUCAUGUGAAUAUAUGUAUAGUUCCAGGCAUUGAGACAUGCAUUAAUGUGUAGAUCAUAUUGGAUAUGAUAGCAUCUUUAAACAGUAAUGGAAGACUUAUGACUUGUUACUCUACAUGGUCACAUGUUGAAUUACUAUGUAUUCAUGAUACUAGUAGCUUGCAUAUGCAAUUUAACUUGAUGUUAUUCCAGAGAAUAUAAUGGUAAAUUUGGGAAUGUGCCAUUUAACUCAGUUGAUCAGAAAAAGGGAAUGAUGUACAUAGGAUUAGACUAUGCAAAUUGAUAUGGCAAGUAUAAUGGCUAACCUUUGAAUACAUCAUGUAAAGGCAAUUGUAUGAGUAUGUAUUCAUAACUGUUGAAUGAAUAGUUUAAUGACCAUGUGAAGAGUAUUCUAUCGUUUAUCUUACCUGCUUGCAUUAGCAUGUUAGUUUCUACUUCCACAUGAUAGAUUAGUCUAAAGUUCAUGAUAUAGUAUAUGAUCUAGUUAAAUAACUAGAAUAUUGUACGAUGGCAUAACUUGAAUGUUAUACAACUAAUUAUAAUCUAGUAAAUGACUAGAUCUGGAUAUGAUAACAUACUUGUGUAAUCAAGUAGAUGUAAUUACAUAGUAUUUGUUUGCCUAAGUAGUGAGGGUUUAUAUUGGACUACAGGAUAUGUGCCAUGAGUCUUUGAAGAUGACUUUAGUAGACCACUUUCCUUAUGUGUAAGGAGUAGUGAGAGGAUUAGGUGUGAGUGUCCAGGUGUAGCCUGAGAGAAUCACCAGUAUGAUGUAAAGCUUAAACUUGUCAAGUUAUAUUAGCUAUUAGUAGAAUCAUAUCAACAAGUGUUGAUAGUGACUUAUGAUUGGGCACUACAGUGUCGACCUUGGGUCGAGUUGAGAUUCCAUGUCAAAGACAUGAUGCUGUUGAGAUAUUGUGCCAUGGAUUACAGCUUGCAUGCCAUUACGCUCUUUCGCACACGCUUGCUGGGGUGGCGGCCCCCCCAAGCCAGCACUCCGGAGUAACUUAGCGACAGAUGCUCGCUUAUUUACGAAGUGAGCGCUGAAAUGGAAUGCCGUGGGGAGUGUAUACUACCACGGGGCCAUUAGGCACGGCGCGGCUUUGAACUUACCUUGUGUAAGUCUGUUUGGAAAUUGGGUUAUGAUAAGUACUUUAACUUUAGCCAGACAUAGUAGUAAAGUUACUUUAUGUCUUUGGUCAAGUUAACUUAUUGGUGAACAUGCUAGAAAGUUGACAUCUAAAGUAAGCUUAGUGAGGAAUAACCUAGAAGUUGACAUCGUGAUUGGUUAAUCAUACAAUGAAAGUAUGUUUCAUUAUUGCUAACGUAGAAGGUUAUUACAUGAUAUUAUCAGUGAUUUCAGGAAAAUGAAUUAUUAUGCAUACCAUCUGGAAUAUGCCUAGUUAAUUGUCAAUUAAUAGGAAUGAUAGAAUCUAGCAUGAUAACUAAUACCUGCAGCCUGUUGAUAUUUAUUUAUUGUUGAGCAAAUAGCAUGAGUGGUUUACUUUCAUACCUGUUGCAUUUAGUAACUUCUUUACUGCUAUUAACUCAUGCCACAGUUGACCUAGUGGUGUGCUUCGCCACUCUCGGCGGCUUACCCACUGGGAACUAUUGUUUAAUAGUUCUCACACCCUCUUUGUUGUUGUUUUUACAGAGCCUUCCACAGCACGAAAGGCUAGGGUCCUUGGCGAGGGGUCAGCGACUUGCUAGAGCUUCCACGAUGCUAGAUAGAUGGAACCACUUUAGCUUUUCUAGUUUAGUACUGUGUUUUAUAGUGAAAUUAUGUAUAUUAUAGUUGUUCUUUCUUAUUGUAAUGAAGUUUUGGGUUGUAUAAGUUUAAACUCUUCAGUUUUGCUCUGAUUACCUAGUUAGAAUUGAAUUCUUUUACUAUACUAUUUGUAGACGCCUAGUGUAUACGUAAGCUGUGGUGUACACGGCAGGUCUGUGCACGCGACUGGUGAGCUUCCGCUGAAAUCCAGGGCGUGACAGAUUAUAGUGGUAUCAGAGCCUAGGGUUGAGUCUUAGUAGACCUAAUAAACCUUAGGCCAGUUGGACGAUCAGGAUUAGGAGCGUGAGAGAUGGGGUCUUUUGCGACUGUUUUGAGCGAAAGUAUUAUGAUUGGGUCAUACUAUAACUCCAAAACUGCCGGAGUUUGAUUGAAAUGAAUAACCUCUAUGUCCUUACAAGAACACGUUGGCAGCCGACAACGUGAUAUUGGGGAAUAGCGGGCGGUCAUUUCAUUGCUUUCGCAUGAUUGGGAUCUUAUAUUUUUUAGUGGGGCUACGAUAGCAUGGGUUGUUUUAACCUGUGCCUAUUUUGUUUGUUGCAGCUUGCAAUGUCAAAGAUGCGCCCUACGGCGACUGAGGCAACUGAGCCAGAAGGACGUGCACCAUCUGAAUUUAGCGAGGUUUGGGAAUUGAAAGAGCAGUUGGUCACUCUAGUUGGGGUGGUGGAGCGACAGUCGAACGUUGCACUACUUCAAGCAGAAGCCUUACGCCGACAAGAUGAAGGAAUCAGACGAUUGGAGAACUUGUUAAUCCAACAGACGUCAGACCUCAAGAAAUUUCAUGAAGUUUUAGAUCAUACCCCAACAGAAAGAAAAGGUGUGGAAUGCACUGAAAGAGCAAAAGAAGGUAUCAAGAGUGAUCAUGAGUUACAUGUCGAAGAAUCAUCAAGAAAAAUAAAGAAGGAUCAACUUUGGAAAUGUGGUUCUUUUUCUAAGCGAAGAAGAUUGAGGGGUCGAUCACCACGGCCAUGUGUAAUUUGUGGAGGUCCGCACGUUCCCCCAAAUUGUCCUCAACGGAAGGAAAAAUGUUUUGAAUGCGGUCAGGAGGGCUAUUUUCGAUCUGAGUGCCCAAGGAAUAACAUGUUAACUAAGAUGUCUGCAUCGACUUUGUUGCAAGAAGUACCCAGUGGAGGUACGUCGACGGAAUUGUAGAGCCAGAUACAACGGCGAGAAUGCUUACGGCAGGUAGUACAUUGUGCAAUGUCUUUAUAACUCGAUUAUGAUGAUAAUGAUUGCUUCAGUUGCACCUUUGAUCGACUGUUUGUCGAGUUGAAUAGCAUCAAUUCUCUUCUUGCUGCAUGUAGGAUUGAUUGAACAGAAUGGUCUACUUGACACCCUACCUAAUGAGAAAGCUUAGUAUAUGCCCACAAAUAGAUUGGCCUUCCCCAUGAUAGAGUGGUUUUGAUUGAAACCUAGUUGUGAGGUACUUUGUACCAUGGUUGUGCAAACUAAAUUGAUUCGCCUUGGAUGUUUGAACAUUAUACAAUGCAUCUUGAAUGGUUUAACCACGCUGAUUGCGAGAAUUAUCAUUUUACCUAAAUUAGGUAAUUAUGGAAUGGUUGGAGCCUAAUUGGCUGAUAAUUUUAAUUGUUAGAACUCUCGAAGUGAGGGGUAAUUCUUGAGUAGUGGUUGUGGUAUUUUUAAACAACUCACAAAUUGUGAACUUGACGAAUAGAGAAUGUUUUAUAUUUGGUGUUUCAUUUUGGUGAAGUAAUUUCACUUGUGGUGAAAUUAGAUGAGUUAUUCGACUAUGUGUCGAAUAUCGUGAUUUCAAUUUGAAACACGAUUAAGUAGUUGGAUUAAGUCAAGAUCUAAUGAUCUUUUAAUCAACCUUUAGUAUUGGGUGCAUGUUAUAGAUUGAGUAGCAAUCUGAGGAGGUUGUAGUCUUUUGUCCAGUUGUUGUUUUGUGCAUCCUGCAAGGGAGAUAAUGAUUGAUUAAGCAAUGAAUUAAAAGGAUUGAGAUGAGACUUUUAUACUGGAACUAAGCAUUUUGGAAUAUUGAGAAAGAAAUUGCCCAGCUACUUAUUUCUUUCACUUUUGAUUUUGGUUUGUGUAUAUUGGAACUAAGCUUCGUAGAAUAAACCACAUGGGGUUAGUCUUUGGGGAUUUUUUUUAAAUUGACGGACGAUCAUAUCAGGGUAAACCCCGUAUGACUGGGAAGCAAAUAAUGAUGUUCUAAUUGUGGGUUAACGAAAGGCUUUGUUCAGAUUUCUUCCCUAGUUAUGGAAAAAAAUAUAUAGAGUAAUAGCAAUAGAGAACUUAUGGGUGAAGUAUAAGUUGAUUCCCCUUUAUUGCUUAAAGUGGAGUUGGGACAAUAAAUACUUGGAGCAUCACACUCUAAGAACAGUAUUGAAGGAAGUUUAUCUGAUUGACCUACUUACAAGAACGAAUAGUGAUGUCAUGAGUUAUUUUGGCAGAAGUAAACCUCCAAAUUGAACUCGAACAGGAUUGAUUGGAAAUCGGGUUGGAGUACGCGAGGAGAAUUUUUCGGUGAGGAAAUGGUUAUGACUUACCUUAUGAUUGGUAUAAAUAAAAACAGUAAAGCAGUAGAGACAAAAUUAAUGGAAUUUGUCUGAGUAUAUGUAUUAACAUGGAGCAGCAUCCAUUAAUGUGAAUUGGCAUUAUCGCCUAGGGACAGAAUGAGAUAUGGUACUUAGGCAUUGUGAUACAAUGCUGAUUGGAAAUCAGGAAUCCAUCUUCAUUGGAUGGAUGGAAGAGAUAAUCAAUUUCAAUUUGUUAUUGAAAGGAUAUUACCAGGAAUAACUAGUUCUUUACCAAGCUAGUUAUGAUUUAGGAAUAUAAUAAUUAAAAAGUAUAUGAGAGAGUUAUGACUACUAGAUGAUGCAAAUUAAUCAUUGGUAUAUGAUCAUUUUGUAAAGUGCAAGAUGGGUAUCAGAUGUAACCUAUGAAUCUUGCUAAGGAAUAAUUACACUCCAAGUAUGUGAUUAUGACAAAACAAGGUGGGCUACAGUUUCAACUUAUUUGAGAAAAUAAGAAAUAGAUUCCAUCCCUAAAAGCCAUAGAUUUUAUGAAGAAUUAAGGGACGAAUUGAGCAAUUUAUAGUGAAAGAUGAAUUUCAUCUUAUCAAUUGGAGAUUACAAGAUAAUUACGAAAACUUGAAUUGUAUACUGCUGCACCUCUGAAAUCAGAGAAUUCCCUGUAUGAAAUAUUUUGAAUGAUUUGGCCUGUUCAAAUCCUUUAGGAAAUGAAGUAUGUGUUGACUUUGAACAAGGAUUCAGUUUUAGUUUCACGGACGAAACUUCUUUUUAGGAGGGAUGAGUGUAAUACACUGAACUUUGGCAAAUUACGAAGUUCAAGUGUUGGAAUAGUAAUUGGAAUCAUUCUGCUACUUUGGAAGGAUGGAGGAGACGUGUUCAGCAAGUUACUGAAGCUAGCAAGUGGUCAGAGGAGGAAAAGUGCAUUGACUGUAAUGCUUCGAACUUGACUAAUUGUGAAGCUGGAAUAGGGAAUGGGCAUUGAGAGCUAACCCACAUCUUUUAAUGAGCUGUGGGGAGGUUUCUGACAAGUUAUAAGAGUGAUCGAAUUGUUAGAAGGUCAAAAGUGCAUUACACUUUAGACGUGGAAGCGUGAAGUUUAAGUGUAAUAUCUCGGAAUUGACUGAUUAUGAAGUUUGAUGAGUAGAAGUGAUAAUUGGAAUUAUCCUACAUUUUCUAAAGGGUUUAGAGAGGUUGGUGGACAGGUAUGAGAGUGAUUAGAUUGCGGGAAGUGAGGAAGUGCAUUGCUGCUNNNNNNNNNNNNNNNNNNNNNNNNNAAACUCACCCGACUCGGGAGAGAGAGGGAGUGUGAGAGAGUAAAGAGAGGGAGAGUGAGAGUAAAGAGAGAAAGAGAGAGAGAGAGAUCUUUCCUUUCUUCCUCUUCUUCUUGUUCUUCCUCUCCUUCCUUUUCUUCUCCUUCUAUUCCUUCCUCUUCUUCUUCCUCUAGUUCUCCUCCCGAAACUCGUGGAGGUAGAGGGAGAGGAGAAGGGUAACCACAUCGAGUUCUCCAUUCGAUGAUUUAGGAUCGAAGCAUUUGAAUCCCAAAACCCAAAAUACGGAACCUUACCCAGUUUACCUGGGAUUCGUUCGGAGAUUUAUCUAGUUAGGGUUCUUAGAUCCCUAAAUACCCCACCAAACGAUAUCCACGUUUAGAUCCCGAGGUUUUACCCCAAAAACAUAUUCGUACUCUAACUAGAGUAAACUUCGGAACCUUUGGGAUAACUAUCCAGGGUUUUGCACCCCCGCUUCAGAUAAAACCGUAAGCCUCUUAGCUGCACUUCAAGAGCCGUUUUAGCCCGGCCCGAUCACAACUAAGCCCGCUCCUUCCGAUUUCGGAAAAGCAUUUCGAGCGGCUCCUCCUAAAAGGUUCAGAGAUGUAGCUAAUUUCCACCCCCCACAGUAGGCUUUGAAAGCUUGAGGAAAGAUACAGAAUCUAACGUAAAUUAGAGUAGAGAAUGUACAACGUAACAUCCUAACGUAUCAUCGAGGUAAGAAAUACGAAAGAUUACUAUUGGAUCACAUGAACCUUGCGAACCAUUGAAUCUAUCCACUCCUAACCCAGCUCUGCACUUAGGAUACCACGCUUUCUUUUCUCUACUUGAGCUACCCCCAUAACUACUGUAUCUUUCAUCACAAUAACAAUUUCUUGUUUGCUCACCGUAGGCUUGUAACUUACUAUUGCUCACCGUAAUUACAUCACAUUUAUUGUGAUCUCCAGCUACCUGGAUCCCUAUCCACCUAGGGAAUCUUUUACGGAACACUUGUUACUUAAAUCUGUUGGAUUUAUCGCAACGUACUAACAGCCCUUGUUUACUAGGGCGCUCUCUAUAAUUGGGAUCGCCAUCCCGAAGGAGUGAACCUCUCCUAAACUAACCCAAUACCUGGGAUCAUUAUCGCGAAGGAGUGAACCUCUCCUAAGCUAACCCAUAACUGAGAUCAACAUCUCACAGGAGUGAACCUCUCCUAUCUAGAUCGAGUGUCAGACGCAAAUCCUACCAUAUCGGUAGGUUAGGGGUGUACCUCCCCUAACAGCAGCUCAUGAGGCCUCACAGCACGCUGAUCCUGGUGAACCUCCAGGUCUGGUGUACCUCCAGGCGUCUGCCAGGGCCCGAACCCACGUGAACCUCGAGGGAGGGGUGAAACCCUAAACUUCCACUCAGUACCCGCUCGGGUUCCCGGAGCGGUGUCUAACCCAUUUCUUUUCAAUUUCCAAAUUUUUACAGUAACUUGUAAUGAUAAGCUUGUACCUAGCUUAAACAAUCGUAUCAUCGUUUGGAAAUAAUAUACUACGUACGUAAGUAUAAGUACUAAUACCCGUAUCAUCGUAUCAAAAGGAUGAUGACGUAAAUGUCGAAAGUCUAUGUAUAAAUAGAUAGAUAGAUAGACAACAAUGAACACGGGUGAACCUGGAUCACCCCGCUAGCCGUCUCAGCCGCCGGCUCGGGUGACCCUUGAUACCUUCUAUCAAGAGUGGAGUGAGAUAAAGGUCACCAUCCAAGUCCCGACGUCUCUCUCCUGGCGCCGUUCCCGUGGCGCGGGCUGGUCACUCUGGCACCAUCAUAUCAUCGAAAGGAAAAACGUAAUCGUGUGGAUACAUAACUCUCACUAAGAACAUCCACUCUAACCUCUCGAUACAUAAAACUCCUAGUUUAUAUAAGUAAAACCUUUUACUACAUUUCCAUUUCUUACAUUGAUAACAUUAUCCAUCAUUUCAUGAGAGAAAUAAAGUGAGCAUAUAGAACACCUAAUGAGCGAGAAGAACAACAACCGUGAUAAACACGGGAACGACUUACACAUACAAAUCUUAAAUUUCAGGACCCAUUUAAGAACAUGUGUAAGGACACCAACUCGGAACCCGCCCGUCCCCUCCACGACAGGCAAGUCGCCAGACAGCGGCGACGGCUUAGCGCGGUUUUACCAUCACCUAAGCCCCGCCCCGCACUGUAUCUCAUUGUUCAGUAUUCAGAAGGUAAAGACAAAUUUCUACGAUAGUAUAGGUUAUACUAGAUGUGUAAUUACGUACAGAGUUACGGACCUUGAUAUGUAUAUAAGUGUACUUAUACAUCAUUGAAGUUGAGUAUUACAGUUUCUUCUGUAUCUCCCUUAAGUGGGUAAAGCCCUUCUAGGCUGGGUGGUUAUACAGCUCUGAAGGCGUUAACCUCCAUAGGUGUGAACUUAACAAAGUCGCCUUCGAGUGGUCAGCGCACGUGUCUGGGCGGCACAUGUGGUGUCGAAUGCAUAUGUGGUCAGCAGAUGUUUAUCAUAUCAUUUUCUUAAGUUAAGAUUGAUCCAUUAGUCUCGUUUUGACUUCUCAAAUUUGAAUAUGUUGGAUUUUGAAGUAAUGUUAUUCUUUCUUGUUGAUAUUAUAUGUAUUAAAGUGAUAUUUUGUGUCAUGAUUUGAUCUUUUCGACUUCACCAAGGUAGAUAGAUCGUAGCACCUUCGAGAUCGUUCAGCGACUGGGGAGCGGUUCCUGGGAUCGGAAAGCACGACACCUUCCGAGACAUUUUUGUUGUUGUUUCUCCCACACUCUUGAUAAUUUGUUAUCAAGGGUCACCCAUUCGGCGGCUCUCACCGCUUCGUGUGGUGAUCCAGUUGACACCGUACUCAAUUAUCGUCAUUUCUUCAAUGAUUUACGUUGUCCAUACUUUCAUUUGGUGAGUACGAUAAACGAGUUGUUAUUUAUUUAUAGUUGUCCGACGUCCAUAAUCAAUAGUACGAUCUAAGAUAGUAAGGAUAAUUAACUGUUAAUUGAUCCGUAUAAGGUCUACCAUACGUAUUAUUAAGUAAAAGGACUUUAGUGACUAUUAUAGUACAUUAUUGGAAGAUGCAAUCGUUAUUACUUUGUAUGAAAGUAACAUACUAAUUGGUUAGUGCUACAGUUGAAGAUCCAAUAAGGAGUGAUUCGAAUGAAAUCUACAGUUGAAAGAUCGUACAAGUGGUUAUUCAAUUGAACUGGUUUCUGUAUUUCAUUGAAAUGAUGAUACAGACCGAUUUCAAUUUCAUGAAUAGUAUUGGGUUAAAGGUUUGUCUGAAUGUGUUCCAUUCAAGUUUCGGCGCGGCACGGAUUACCGGGGCACCAUCAUAUGUGAGGGGUGCCGUAAGGUAAAGUCGCGAGUGAAGCAUUUAUUCGCUCGUAGACAGCGAUUCAAUGAGGCCUCACGACCGAACCCCCCCGGCGGUGGGGUCGUUCGCACACGCUUUCUCGCAUUACCGUACGUUCGACAUUAGGUACCGUGUUAUAGAGUUGUCGUAGUACAGAAACUGUACCUUAGAGUUGAGCUGGGUUCCAGCUGUGACAUCACGGGUUAGUAUUCAGUGAUAGUUGUGAACAACUGUACUAAGAUGGUUAUUGAUCAUAUUGAACUGUUCAAAUUCGAAAUGUAGUAUGAUCACUAAGAUAGUCCGAUAUGGACCAGUCAGUGAGUUUUAGAGAGUGAUGAGGAAUGUAUAUUCCUUUCACCAAAUGAUUGCAGGAUAAGUUCCUGAGUACCGUGUAUAGGACAUCAGGUUACAUUUGGAGGCCCCAUUUAUUUAUGAUACGUUAAUGUAGAUGAACUGAUACGUUCGUAUAAUAGUAUAGGAUUAGAUCAAUAAAUGAUCUAAUAUAAGUCAACAUAUAGUAUAAAGGCCAUUUUGCAUAAAAGCCCCUCAACUUUCACUCCUGUGCAUUGCCCUCACUGGGCAGUUUUCGCGCAGAGGGGCCGGUCUCCCCGACUUGGGACCGGUCCCCGAGUGCUUCCCUCGGGCGCACGCGUUCGGGAACCGGUCUCUCCCCGGGAGACCGGUCCUCGGGAGACCGGUCCUCACCUGGGAGACCGGUCCCCGAGAGCUCGAUUUUCAGGAGUUAGCCAAUUUUUGGCAUCUUUCGCUGGGACCACGUUCGGGAACCGGUCCCUCCCUGCCAGGGACCGGUUGCAUCACGCAACCCCGCUACAUCCAGCCAGGGGAACCGGUCUCUCACCUGCAGAGACCGGUCCCCGAGAGCGACAUCAGCCCAAUGAUGCCAUUUGUCUCAUUUUCUCUCGCGGACUCAACUUCAAGGCACUUUUUGUGCUUUGGACAUUCCCAACUCCCACAAAGGGUAUUCUCUCGACAGUCAGUCGAUCCUGGACGAAGUACAAUCCUCGGAUUUCGAGAAUUCACUUCCUUACACUCUACAUGGUCACAUGUUGAAUUACUAUGUAUUCAUGAUACUAGUAGCUUGCAUAUGCAAUUUAACUUGAUGUUAUUCCAGAGAAUAUAAUGGUAAAUUUGGGAAUGUGCCAUUUAACUCAGUUGAUCAGAAAAAGGGAAUGAUGUACAUAGGAUUAGACUAUGCAAAUUGAUAUGGCAAGUAUAAUGGCUAACCUUUGAAUACAUCAUGUAAAGGCAAUUGUAUGAGUAUGUAUUCAUAACUGUUGAAUGAAUAGUUUAAUGACCAUGUGAAGAGUAUUCUAUCGUUUAUCUUACCUACUUGCAUUAGGCUGUUAGUUUCUACUUCCACAUGAUAGAUUAGUCUAAAGUUCAUGAUAUGGUAUAUGAUCUAGUUAAAUAACUAGAAUAUUGUACGAUGGCAUAACUUGAAUGUUAUACAACUAAUUAUAAUCUAGUAAAUGACUAGAUCUGGAUAUGAUAACUUACUUGUGUAAUCAAGUAGAUGUAAUUACAUAGUAUUUGUUUGCCUAAGUAGUGAGGGUUUAUAUUGGACUACAGGAUAUGUGCCAUGAGUCUUUCAAGAUGACUUUAGUAGACCACUUUCCUUAUGUGUAAGGAGUAGUGAGAGGACUAGGAGUGAGUGUCCAGGUGUAGCCUGAGAGAAUCACCAGUAUGAUGUAAAGCUUAAACUUGUCAAGUUAUAUUAGCUAUUGGUAGAAUCAAGUCAACAAGUGUUGAUAGUGACUUAUGAUUGGGCACUACAGUGUCGACCUUGGGUCGAGUUGAGAUUCCAUGUCAGAGACAUAAUGCUGUUGAGAUAUUGUGCCAUGGAUUACAGCUUGCAUGCCAUUACGCUCUUUCGCACACGCUUGCUGGGGUCGCGCCCCCCAAGCCAGCACUCCGGAGUAGCUUAGCGACAGAUGCUCGCUUAUGUACGAAGUGAGUGCUGAAAUGGAAUGCCGUGGGGAGUGUAUACUACUACGGGGCCAUUAGGCACGGCACGGCUUUGAACUUACCUUGUGUAAGUCUGUUUGGAAAUUGGGUUAUCAUAAGUACUUUAACCUUAGCUAGAUAUAUUAGUAAAGUUACUUUAUAUCUUUGGUCAAGUUAACUUAUUGGUGAACAUGCUAGAAAGUUGACAUCUAAAGUAAGCUUAGUGAGGAAUAACCUAGAAGUUGACGUCAUUAUUGGUUAAUCAUACAAUGACAGUAUGUUUCAUUAUUGCUAACGUAGAAGGUUAUUACAUGAUAUUAUCAGCGAUUUCAGUAAAAUGAAUUAUUAUGCAUACCAUCUGGAAUAUGCCUAGUUAAUUGUCAAUUAAUAGGAAUGAUAGAAUCUAGCAUGAUAACUAAUACCUGCAGCCUGUUGAUAUUUAUUUAUUGUUGAGAAAAUAGCAUAAGUGGUUUACUUUCAUACCUGUUGCAUUUAGUUACUUCUUUACUGCUAUUAACUCAUGCCACAGUUGACCUAGUGGUGUACUUCGCCACUUGUCAUGAUUUGAUCUUUUCGAUUUCACCAAGGUAGAUAGAUCGUAGCACCUUCGAGUUCGAUCAGCGACUGGGGAACGGUCCCUGGGAUCGAAAAGGGCGACACCUUCCGAGAUAUUUUUGUUGUUGUUUCUCCCACACUCUUGAUAAUUUGUUAUCAAGGGUCACCCAUUCGGCGGCUCUCACCGCUUCAUGUGGUGAUCCAGUUGACACCGUACUCAAUUAUCGUCAUUUCUUCAUUGAUUUACGUUGUCCAUACUUUCAUUUGGUGAGUACGAUAAACGAGUUGUUAUUUAUUUAUAGUUGUCCGACGUCCAUAAUCAGUAGUACGAUCUACGAUAGUAAGGAUAAUUAACUGUUAAUUGAUUCGUAUAAGGUCUACCAUACGUAUUAUUAAGUAAAAUGACUUUAGUGACUAUUAUAGUACAUUAUUGGAAGAUGCAAUCGUUAUUAUUUUGUAUGACAGUAACAUACUAAUUGGUUAGUGCUACAGUUGAAGAUCCAAUAAGGAGUGAUUCGAAUGAAAUCUACAGUCGAAAGAUCGUACAAGUGGUUAUUCAAUUGAACUGGUUUUUGUAUUUCAUUGAAAUGAUGACACAGAUCGAUUCCAAUUUCAUGAAUAGUAUUGGGUUAAAAGUUUGUCUGAAUGUGUUCCAUUCAAGUUUCGGCGCGGCACGGAUUACCGGGGCACCAUCAUAUGUGAGGGGUGCCGUAAGGUAAAGCCGCGAGUGAAGCAUGUAUUCGCUCGUAGACAUCGAUUCGAUGAGGCCUCACGACCGAACCCCCCCGCGGUGGGGGCGUUCGCACACGCUUUCUCGCAUUACCGUACGUUCGACAUUAGGUACCGUGUUAUAGAGUCGUCGUAGUACAGAGACUGUACCUUAGAGUUGAGCUGGGUUCCAGCUGUGACAUCACGGGUUAGUAUUCAGUGAUAGUUGUGAACAACUGUACUAAGAUGGUUAUCGAUUAUAUUGAACUGCUCAAAUUCGAAAUGUAAUAUGACCACUAAGAGAGUCCGAUGUGGACCUGUGAGUGUGGAUCAGGAGAGUGAUGAGGAAUGUGUAUUCUUUUAACCAGAUGAUUUCAGUAGAAGUUUCUGAGUAUCGUGUUUAGGACAUCAGGUUAUAUUUGGGAGUGAUGAAUCCGUUUGUUUAUGAUACAUUAAUGUAGAUGAACUAGUGUGUUCAUACAAUAGUAUAGGUCUAGAUCAGUAAAUGAUCUAAUAUUAAUCAACAUAUUGUAAGUUCAAUACGGUAGCAUGUUAUAAGAUCAAUAAAUUGAUCUAGUAUAUGGUAUAGUACUUGAAAUCUGAUUAGAUAGUACACCUUCAUCUUUGAUUGUCGGAUUACGUUCAUCCAUUCUAUUUGCUAUCUUAUGAGAAGUGUACCAGUAAUUUGAUAAGUAAGUUGUCAAUACUUAUGUAUGAGUAUGUUAACGGAAAUGUACUACAUAAGUUUCCAAUCGGUAAUAUGAACGGUAUAGUUAAACGUAUCAGAUUAGGAUACAUGUAGUAAGGGAAAAAGACUAGUUGACUCAAUUUACCGUGUAAGGGUUUAAAUGGUAAUAUAAGAGACCUUAUUGUAGUUCAAUUUAACGUAUACGUUCGAUGAUCAUAGUACUUAUGUAUCAUUAAGUUGUACACUGGUACAUCUCACAUUCCUUCACUUAAGAGCUUUAGGCUCCUAACAUGAAGCAGGUCCUAGCUGACUGACAGCUCUCUUAUGGGAAACACCCUCAACCCUUACAGGUUUCGUGUUUUUCACGGAACUUCAACUCAGGCGCUCUCUUUUACUCUGUUUACCGUAGUAACCCGACUACAGCGAGAGCCCCUGGCCAGAGACGUCCACUCUCUGGCCAAGGGGACCGACCUACAUCGCCCCAACGCACUACGUUGGCCAGGGACCGUCCCUCCCUGGCCAAGGGCUUGCACCAGGGUCGCUUUCUACGGUUUUUAACCGAUUGAGGACUUUUAGCUCGAGAGCCCCUGGCCAGAGGGUCCACUCCUGGCCAGAGGGCUCCUGGCCAGAGGGCCCCUCUCUGGCCAAGGGCUUGCGCACGCGGGCUCCCUUCGUGAGCCCCUGGCCAGGGUUCAGCCCCUCUGGCCGGGGAGACGCGCUUUUGACGGGUCACUCCCGUUACGUGUCCUCACUUUCAACUCCCCGAAAAUACGUUUUACCGGAAAUAAACUCACCCGACUCGGGAGAGAGAGGGAGUGUGAGAGAGUAAAGAGAGGGAGAGUGAGAGUAAAGAGAGAAAGAGAGAGAGAGAGAUCUUUCCUUUCUUCCUCUUCUUCUUGUUCUUCCUCUCCUUCCUUUUCUUCUCCUUCUAUUCCUUCCUCUUCUUCUUCCUCUAGUUCUCCUCCCGAAACUCGUGGAGGUAGAGGGAGAGGAGAAGGGUAACCACAUCGAGUUCUCCAUUCGAUGAUUUAGGAUCGAAGCAUUUGAAUCCCAAAACCCAAAAUACGGAACCUUACCCAGUUUACCUGGGAUUCGUUCGGAGAUUUAUCUAGUUAGGGUUCUUAGAUCCCUAAAUACCCCACCAAACGAUAUCCACGUUUAGAUCCCGAGGUUUUACCCCAAAAACAUAUUCGUACUCUAACUAGAGUAAACUUCGGAACCUUUGGGAUAACUAUCCAGGGUUUUGCACCCCCGCUUCAGAUAAAACCGUAAGCCUCUUAGCUGCACUUCAAGAGCCGUUUUAGCCCGGCCCGAUCACAACUAAGCCCGCUCCUUCCGAUUUCGGAAAAGCAUUUCGAGCGGCUCCUCCUAAAAGGUUCAGAGAUGUAGCUAAUUUCCACCCCCCACAGUAGGCUUUGAAAGCUUGAGGAAAGAUACAGAAUCUAACGUAAAUUAGAGUAGAGAAUGUACAACGUAACAUCCUAACGUAUCAUCGAGGUAAGAAAUACGAAAGAUUACUAUUGGAUCACAUGAACCUUGCGAACCAUUGAAUCUAUCCACUCCUAACCCAGCUCUGCACUUAGGAUACCACGCUUUCUUUUCUCUACUUGAGCUACCCCCAUAACUACUGUAUCUUUCAUCACAAUAACAAUUUCUUGUUUGCUCACCGUAGGCUUGUAACUUACUAUUGCUCACCGUAAUUACAUCACAUUUAUUGUGAUCUCCAGCUACCUGGAUCCCUAUCCACCUAGGGAAUCUUUUACGGAACACUUGUUACUUAAAUCUGUUGGAUUUAUCGCAACGUACUAACAGCCCUUGUUUACUAGGGCGCUCUCUAUAAUUGGGAUCGCCAUCCCGAAGGAGUGAACCUCUCCUAAACUAACCCAAUACCUGGGAUCAUUAUCGCGAAGGAGUGAACCUCUCCUAAGCUAACCCAUAACUGAGAUCAACAUCUCACAGGAGUGAACCUCUCCUAUCUAGAUCGAGUGUCAGACGCAAAUCCUACCAUAUCGGUAGGUUAGGGGUGUACCUCCCCUAACAGCAGCUCAUGAGGCCUCACAGCACGCUGAUCCUGGUGAACCUCCAGGUCUGGUGUACCUCCAGGCGUCUGCCAGGGCCCGAACCCACGUGAACCUCGAGGGAGGGGUGAAACCCUAAACUUCCACUCAGUACCCGCUCGGGUUCCCGGAGCGGUGUCUAACCCAUUUCUUUUCAAUUUCCAAAUUUUUACAGUAACUUGUAAUGAUAAGCUUGUACCUAGCUUAAACAAUCGUAUCAUCGUUUGGAAAUAAUAUACUACGUACGUAAGUAUAAGUACUAAUACCCGUAUCAUCGUAUCAAAAGGAUGAUGACGUAAAUGUCGAAAGUCUAUGUAUAAAUAGAUAGAUAGAUAGACAACAAUGAACACGGGUGAACCUGGAUCACCCCGCUAGCCGUCUCAGCCGCCGGCUCGGGUGACCCUUGAUACCUUCUAUCAAGAGUGGAGUGAGAUAAAGGUCACCAUCCAAGUCCCGACGUCUCUCUCCUGGCGCCGUUCCCGUGGCGCGGGCUGGUCACUCUGGCACCAUCAUAUCAUCGAAAGGAAAAACGUAAUCGUGUGGAUACAUAACUCUCACUAAGAACAUCCACUCUAACCUCUCGAUACAUAAAACUCCUAGUUUAUAUAAGUAAAACCUUUUACUACAUUUCCAUUUCUUACAUUGAUAACAUUAUCCAUCAUUUCAUGAGAGAAAUAAAGUGAGCAUAUAGAACACCUAAUGAGCGAGAAGAACAACAACCGUGAUAAACACGGGAACGACUUACACAUACAAAUCUUAAAUUUCAGGACCCAUUUAAGAACAUGUGUAAGGACACCAACUCGGAACCCGCCCGUCCCCUCCACGACAGGCAAGUCGCCAGACAGCGGCGACGGCUUAGCGCGGUUUUACCAUCACCUAAGCCCCGCCCCGCACUGUAUCUCAUUGUUCAGUAUUCAGAAGGUAAAGACAAAUUUCUACGAUAGUAUAGGUUAUACUAGAUGUGUAAUUACGUACAGAGUUACGGACCUUGAUAUGUAUAUAAGUGUACUUAUACAUCAUUGAAGUUGAGUAUUACAGUUUCUUCUGUAUCUCCCUUAAGUGGGUAAAGCCCUUCUAGGCUGGGUGGUUAUACAGCUCUGAAGGCGUUAACCUCCAUAGGUGUGAACUUAACAAAGUCGCCUUCGAGUGGUCAGCGCACGUGUCUGGGCGGCACAUGUGGUGUCGAAUGCAUAUGUGGUCAGCAGAUGUUUAUCAUAUCAUUUUCUUAAGUUAAGAUUGAUCCAUUAGUCUCGUUUUGACUUCUCAAAUUUGAAUAUGUUGGAUUUUGAAGUAAUGUUAUUCUUUCUUGUUGAUAUUAUAUGUAUUAAAGUGAUAUUUUGUGUCAUGAUUUGAUCUUUUCGACUUCACCAAGGUAGAUAGAUCGUAGCACCUUCGAGAUCGUUCAGCGACUGGGGAGCGGUUCCUGGGAUCGGAAAGCACGACACCUUCCGAGACAUUUUUGUUGUUGUUUCUCCCACACUCUUGAUAAUUUGUUAUCAAGGGUCACCCAUUCGGCGGCUCNNNNNNNNNNNNNNNNNNNNNNNNNNNNNNNNNNNNNNNNNNNNNNNNNNNNNNNNNNNNNNNNNNNNNNNNNNNNNNNNNNNNNNNNNNNNNNNNNNNNNNNNNNNNNNNNNNNNNNNNNNNNNNNNNNNNNNNNNNNNNNNNNNNNNNNNNNNNNNNNNNNNNNNNNNNNNNNNNNNNNNNNNNNNNNNNNNNNNNNNNNNNNNNNNNNNNNNNNNNNNNNNNNNNNNNNNNNNNNNNNNNNNNNNNNNNNNNNNNNNNNNNNNNNNNNNNNNNNNNNNNNNNNNNNNNNNNNNNNNNNNNNNNNNNNNNNNNNNNNNNNNNNNNNNNNNNNNNNNNNNNNNNNNNNNNNNNNNNNNNNNNNNCUCUCUCUCUCUCUCUCUCUCUCUCUCUCUCUCUCUCUCUCUCUCUCUCUCUCUAUCUCUAUAUAUAUAUAUAUAUAUAUAUAUAUAUAUAUAUAUAUAUAUAUAUAUAUAUAUAUAUAUAAAAUUGAGCCCCUAUACUUUUAAAAGUAUCAAGUUGUUUGUGCUUAUAGAUUUUUGAUCAUUGGAUUAAGGAAUGUGCGGUUAGAAUGAUAUAAGACCUCUAGAGUUGAGUGGGUGUUGGUUGAAUAGUAUGAUUUUACGGUUGAAAAUAAUCAAAGAGUUAGAUCUAACAGUAAAAAAUUUAAAAGCAUCAAGUGCUUGGUGAUUUUACAAGCAUCAUAGCCGGACUCUCUCUCUCUCUCUAUAUAUAUAUAUACUCACACACAAGUGUAAUGCCCGCAACAUUUAUAAAUUAAAUUAAAUUUACAUAUAAUUUUUAAAUUAAAAUAAAUUUUAAAUCUGUAUUUUAAAUUUAAAUGGUUAUUAGUUGCAGGGCCUAUUUUACUAAAUUUGAAUUUUUUUUCUAAGUAUGUUUCUAAUUUUGUUGUACCUUAAAUACUUUUUAUGUGUACCUAACAUACAGAUUUUUUUUUCCAAUUUAAAACUAGGAUUUAAAAUUUUAAAUAAAUUUUAAAUUUUAAAUUAAAUUUUAAGUUUAAAUAUAAAUUUAUCAAUCAAAGUCAAAAUUUAAAUUUAAUUUUGAAUCAAUUAUUUGAAUUUAAACAAUUAUUUCUUUGAUAGGUCUAUUUUUGAACUAUUCAAUUUUUCAAACCUGAUUUGUUUUUAGUUAGUUAAUUAUAUAAUUUUUUUAUAAUCUGUAUAUAAUACUUUUUUUUUAUUUUAUCUAGAAUUUCCUCUCUCAACUUCAAAUUUUCUUUCUGUUUUUAUAUAAUAUAGGUAAAAGCACUAAUGAUAUUUUUUAAUAACUCAUAUAUUUAAUAGAGUUUAAAAGUCAAACAUGAGAAGAUUUUUUCAGCUCAUUUAAUAAAAGAGCUGAAUACGAGCAGGGGUCUCGCUCAUGUUCAGCUUAACAACAGUUUAAAUACAUAUAUUUUAUAUUUACAUAAUUUAUAUAUUUUAUAUCUAUAUAUAUAAAUAAAUAGAAUUAUGCUACUACAUUAUCGAUAAUACCAAGCGCUUGGUGAAAUUAAAUUUUCGGCCGUUGUAUGAAAGGAUAUGCGGUUAGAAUUAUAGCGGUUUCCGGUUAAGAUGAUAGUGGUUCUGUAGAAUUGAGUGGAUUGUUGGUUGAAUAAUAUAAUCACGCGGGUGGAAAUGAUUAAAGAGUAGAUCUAACAGGAGAAAACUCAAUAGUAGUAAGAGUUUGAUACUAUCAAUAAUACAGUAGCCGAACUCUAAAUAAAUAAUUAUUUAUAUAAAAUAAAAAUUUUUAUUAUUUUAUUUUAAACUCAAUCUAAAUAUAAAGCCGAACUCAAUUAUAAAAAAAAAAACACAUUUAAAUUUUAACAAUUACAUCAAAAUCAAAUAGGUAAAAUUUUAAAAAAUUAUUUCUUAUAUACAUCAUUUCUACUUUUUUAAUUUUUUUUCUUGAACCAACUUGUUUUCAGCUUAUUAAUAAAUGAGUUGAAUACGAGCUGAAUUUUUCGACUCGAUACUUUAAUAAAUUAGCUCUUGUUAGGCUCAUUUAUAAAAUGAGCGGAACAAAAGCCGCCCCAGCUUGUUUGUAUUUGGCUCAUUGACACCCCUAAUCAUAUUAGGGAGUGUACAUUUAAUAUUUUUUUAAAUUUAGUAUAUUUUUUAAAUUUUGAGUGUAAGAUAUAUACAAUCAUAUAUAAACUUAUUAUAGAAUGUAGAUUUAAUAUUUUUUAAUUUAAAUAUAAAAUAUCUGUAUACAGUGUACGGAUACAUCCCGUGUAAGCACUAAUUUCUCGAAGGGUUGAAAGACUACAGAAGAACAGCAAGUGGGUCCACCCAUGUGCAAACUGCUAUUCACCGCCCGCGUUUCGCAGUAUGGUACGUUCCUUUGUCCGUUGUGAUCUAUCUGCUACCAGGACAAAGUUUACUUUAAUUAUUUAAAGUAAAAUUUUCCAGUAUCAUGCAAUAUGUGGAACCAAACAAACUUUAAUAUCAUACUUGUUAAAAUAUAAACUACUGCUCAUAGCAAGUAAUUCUAAGCAACAAGAAAUACGAGCUGUAUUGGAGCGGAAAGCCUACAACGAGUCUGUCCGUUGAUCUCGGUCCGCCUCUAAAUGCUCCAACGUUCCACUUUGUUGGCAAAGUAAACCGUUACCACCGCUCCCACUCACCAAAACACAACAAACUAUUACAAUUCGCAUUCAUUACCCCCAACAUCCACCGAUCGACCAGCUCAUCCGGUGACACAACCCUCUUUUUCCAUUAAUUAUUAACCCGCAUUAAAGCCCAGCAGCUACAGGCGGAAACAAAGAGGUUUUACCGUACUACUGCUACGGCAAAAACCCAAAAAAAAAAAAAAAAAAAAAAAAAAAAAAAAAAANNNNNNNNNNNNNNNNNNNNNNNNNNNNNNNNNNNNNNNNNNNNNNNNNNNNNNNNNNNNNNNNNNNNNNNNNNNNNNNNNNNNNNNNNNNNNNNNNNNNNNNNNNNNNNNNNNNNNNNNNNNNNNNNNNNNNNNNCCCCCCCUCCGCCCCCAUGCUUCAUGCUAGGGAUUAGAAAUGGGGAAGAUGAUAUUGUUAAGGGACCAAAAGUUAGGGUUUUUGAAUUUUGAGGUCAAAUCUUGGGAUUGAUCUCAUUCUAACAUAAUUGGUAGGUCAACGAACGCGUUGGUGCGCUCGGUUCGGCGAUACGACGAGUGUACGCGAAGAUAUCAAGGAAAAAGGCCCGUUUCGGCUUCAUUUUGCCAUAGCAAGUGGCGUAGAGGUCUAAAAAUUGUGGAAAAUUGGAUUACAGCGUCUUAGCAUCACCAAGAGGUGAGGGGUGCUAUCCGGAAACACCGAAUUUCCUUCUAUGCCUAUGUUAUCAUUUUUGAGCAUAUUGAUGUUAGCAUUCAUGCAUAUAGGGUAAUAUGAUGAAUAUGAUUGGUUGAGAUUCAAUUGUAUGCUAGAGAACAUAUGAAUUGAUAUAGAACCAUGUGAACUAAGAAUGCGAAAACCCUAUGUGCAUGCGAAUGUAUGUCACGCCCCGUGCCCCGCUGUAACAUACCACAUCCCUCGUAAAUCGUGCCGAGUUCCGUCAAAACGAGCGGAACGCGGAAUUGAAUGAGUUAGAAUGGACCCUGAGCACAUUAGGGCUCAUAACAGAAGCAAAAAGGGACCCGAGAGAGAGAGAAUCAGAAAAUCUAGUUAACUCCCAGAUUUUGUGCUCUCGGGGACCGGUCCCCGUACGCGUAGCCUGCCAGGAAGUCCUGAGGCAACCGGUCCCUGGUGGUGAGACCGGUCCUCGGGAGACCGGUCCCUGACGGGCAGACCGGUCCCUCGCUGCGCAACGGCCGAAAAACUCGAAAUUUGGCUAAGUCCUGGAACACCCACGUUCAGGAACCGGUCCCUGGUCGGGGAGACUGGUCCCCGAAGGCGAAAAACGCCCAGUCUGGGUUUAUCAAGGGGAAACAAGUUGAGGGGUUUAAAUGCAAUUGUCACAACACUAUAUAUGGACACCCCUCUCUUUCCCACAGCCAUUUUCACCCUUCUCUCCCAUUUCCUCUCUUUCUCUCUCUAGAACUCUUGCUCUAGGGCUUGGAGAAGAAGAAGAAGAAGCAAGGGAAGGUGGAUUUGGAGGCUUUGGUGGGUUCUACAAGCUCUCCUACAAGAAGGACUUGGAGGGGCUUGGGCUAAGGUGAGUUUUUGGUAGAAAUGAGUCUAGGGCUUGGUUUUAAUCCCUAUGUUUUGGAGCUUUGGGUUGUUUUUGGCCAUGGGAGCCUUCUAUGUGCCUUGAACUCCAAGGAACCCAUGAGAGCUCAAGUGCUCUCAUGGUGGUUGGGUAGGGUUUGCCAUGGAAGCCCUAGGGUUGGUUCCAAGGGUCUAGAAACCUUACUAGGAUGCUUCUUAGAUGAUCCUAAGCUAUUGUUUGCUUAAGGUUGGGAUCGAUUCAUGGGAAAACCCUAAAUGACAAUAUUAGGGCUUGAAUUUGGGGCUUUUGCCCUAGGAUUGUUCGGGGACAAAUUGACCCCGUGGAAACCUAAUUGGGGGUGCCCUAAACACGUUGGGCAACUCCGUUUAACAUUACGAAAAUGAUAGAGUAUAGUUCAUGUACAAAAGGCCUAAUAUGGCACCGUUUUGAUUAUAGGGCGCGGAAGCGGCUUUCGUAAAAUCCGGGAGUCGUCAUAUACUACACCCACACGAUUAUUAGAGGUGGGGGGUGCACGCCGGAAUCGUUGGAUUCCCUUCUAUGUCUGUUUUCUCUAUUCUUGAGCAUAUAUGUAUAUAUAUACCCAUUCAUGCAUAGUAGGGUAGAUACAUGUGGAACUUGGUUUGACUUCAUUUAUAUGUUUCUAACGUAG